UACGAAGGGUGCUAGCGUUGUUCGGAAUUACUGGGCGUAAAGCGCGCGUAGGCGGCUUUUCAAGUCAGAGGUGAAAUCCCUGGGCUCAACCCAGGAACUGCCUUUGAAACUGUAAAGCUGGAGUGUCGGAGGGGAUAGCGGAAUUCCUAAUGUAGAGGUGAAAUUCGUAGAUAUUAGGAGGAACACCGGUGGCGAAGGCGGCUAUCUGGACGACAACUGACGCUGAGGCGCGAAAGCGUGGGGAGCAAACAGG
rnacentral:rRNA from 1 species